GGGCUGGGUCUGGAGAGGGGCACGGAGGCUGAUCUUCUGAGGGGUAGGUAUCAAGAGUCUGGACUUUAGCCUGAGGGCAGAGAAAGUGAAAGUAUUAGUUGCUCACUCAUGGCCUACCCUUUGCAGCCCCCUGGACUCUAGGCCGCCAGCCUCCUUUGUCUGUGGAAUUCUCCAGGCAAGGAUAUUGGAGUGGGUUGCCAUUCCCUUCUCCACGGGAUCUUCCCGACCCAGGUCUCCUGCCUUGCAGGCAGGUUCUUUACUGUUUGAGCCACCAGGGAAACCCCCUGAGGGCAGAGAGGGGCUGUCAAAUGUUUUUAAAGCCAAGAGUAACAAAAUUUGUGGUUCAUUGUUUAUACCAGAGAGGAGGUCUUCCACACGGGCACAGGAAGUGUGUGCAAAACCUGCUUCACCAGCGGUGGUAUAGUCAGUCCACAAGAGUGAACUAGAGUUUCAUGUAUGCGCUUGGGUAAAACCUCGGAAACGUAAGGCUGGGCUUUUAAAAGAAGCAAGUUUACAAGGAUGUACUCUUGGCGCUCCGUGCAUUCCGCAUCCCUGAUAUGGGACUCUGUGCUAUUUCAGAGGAGGGACUUGAGCCCCCACAGACGGUGUUCACGGGAGUCCUGGAACCAGGCCCCUGCGGUUACAAGGACAGCACCGCUUGUGUAAAGCUUGGAAGCAUUGGGAAGAAAAGAGAUCCUGUUUGCUGCGGGGAAUGGAUUGGAAAAGAGAAAGCAGUGUUAGAGCCCGUGGGAGAGUGUUGCAGAAGCGCAGGUCAGCUUCUAAGAAUCAGACACUGA
rnacentral:lncRNA from 1 species